rnacentral:tRNA from 1 species
GGGCGCAUAGCUCAGUUGGUUAGAGCGCAACGUUGACAUCGUUGAGGUCAGAGGUUCGACUCCUCUUGCGCCCA